rnacentral:rRNA from 1 species
AGAGUUUGAUCAUGGCUCAGGACGAACGCUGGCGGCGCGCUUUAUACAUGCAAGUCGAACGAGAAGCCAGAGCUUGCUCUGGUGGAAAGUGGCGAACGGGUGAGUAACACGUGAGAAACCUGCCCCAAAGACUGGGAUAAGCCGAGGAAACUUGGUCUAAUACCGGAUACCUUCUUUUAUCACAUGUUAAAAAGAAGAAAUGCUCCGGCGCUUUGGGAUGGUCUCGCGACCUAUCAGCUUGUUAGUGAGGUAAAAGCUCACCAAGGCAUCGACGGGUAGCUGGUCUGAGAGGAUGUCCAGCCACAUUGGGACUGAGAUACGGCCCAAACUCCUACGGGAGGCAGCAGUAGGGAAUCUUGCACAAUGAGGGAAACCUUGAUGCAGCGACGCCGCGUGCGGGACGAAGGCCCUAGGGUUGUAAACCGCUUUCAGUAGGGACGAAAGUGACGGUACCUACAGAAGAAGCCCCGGCCAACUAUGUG